UACGUAGGUGGCAAGCGUUGUUCGGAAUUAUUGGGCAUAAAGGGCGCGUAGGCGGCCUUCUAAGUCGAACGUGAAAUCCCCGGGCUCAACCCGGGAACUGCGUCCGAUACUGGAAGGCUUGAAUCCGGGAGAGGGAUGCGGAAUUCCAGGUGUAGCGGUGAAAUGCGUAGAUAUCUGGAGGAACACCGGUGGCGAAGGCGGCAUCCUGGACCGGCAUUGACGCUGAGGCGCGAAAGCCAGGGGAGCAAACGGG
rnacentral:rRNA from 1 species